UACGGAGGAUCCAAGCGUUAUCCGGAUUUAUUGGGUUUAAAGGGUGCGUAGGUGGGAUGAUAAGUCAGAGGUGAAAGCUAGCAGCUUAACUGUUAAAUUGCCUUUGAUACUGUUAUUCUUGAGUAUAGUUGGCGUUGGCGGAAUGUGACAUGUAGCGGUGAAAUGCGUAGAUAUGUCACAGAACACCGAUCGCGAAGGCAGCUAACGAAACUAUCACUGACACUGAUGCACGAAAGCGUGGGGAGCAAACAGGAUUAGAAACCCCCGUAGUCC
rnacentral:rRNA from 1 species